AACGAACGCUGGCGGCAGGCUUAACACAUGCAAGUCGAACGCAUCGCAAGAUGAGUGGCAGACGGGUGAGUAACGCGUGGGAACAUACCCUUUUCUACGGAAUAGCUCUGGGAAACUGGAAUUAAUACCGUAUACGCCCUACGGGGGAAAGAUUUAUCGGGGAAGGAUUGGCCCGCGUUGGACUAGCUAGUUGGUGGGGUAAAGGCCUACCAAGGCGACGAUCCAUAGCUGGGCUGAGAGGAUGAUCAGCCACAUUGGGACUGAGACACGGCCCAAACUCCUACGGGAGGCAGCAGUGGGGAAUAUUGGACAAUGGGCGCAAGCCUGAUCCAGCCAUGCCGCGUGAGUGAUGAAGGCCUUAGGGUUGUAAAGCUCUUUCACCGAUGAAGAUAAUGACGGUAGUCGGAGAAGAAGCCCCGGCUAACUUCGUGCCAGCCGCCGCGGUAAGAC
rnacentral:rRNA from 1 species